CCGAUCUGAACCCGACUAAUGAUGGGGAUUGGGGAUUGCAAUUAUUUCCCAUGAACAAGGAAUUCCCAGUAAGCGCGGGUCAUAAGCUUGCGUUGAUUAAGUCCCUGCCCUUUGUACACACCGCCCGUCGCUACUACCGAUUGGAUGGUUUAGUGAGGUCCUCGGAUCGGCCCCGCCGGGGUCG